rnacentral:snRNA from 1 species
GGGCUCGCUUCAGCAGCACAUAUACUAAAGUUGGAAUGAUACAGAGAAGAUUAGCAUGGCCCCUGAACAAGGAUGACAUGCAAAUUCGUAAAGCAUUCCAUAUUUUU